CGGGUGAGUAACACGUGGAUAACCUACCUAUAAGACUGGGAUAACUUCGGGAAACCGGAGCUAAUACCGGAUAACAUGUUGAACCGCAUGGUUCAACAGUGAAAGACGGUCUUGCUGUCACUUAUAGAUGGAUCCGCGCCGCAUUAGCUAGUUGGUAAGGUAACGGCUUACCUAGGCAACGAUGCAUAGCCGACCUGAGAGGGUGAUCGGCCACACUGGAACUGAGACACGGUCCAG
rnacentral:rRNA from 1 species